rnacentral:rRNA from 1 species
UACGUAGGGUGCGAGCGUUGUCCGGAAUUAUUGGGCGUAAAGGGCUCGUAGGCGGUUUGUCGCGUCGGGAGUGAAAACCCAGGGCUUAACCCUGGGCUGGCUUCCGAUACGGGCAGACUAGAGGUAUUCAGGGGAGAACGGAAUUCCUGGUGUAGCGGUGAAAUGCGCAGGAUAUCAGGAGGAACACCGGUGGCGAAGGCGGUUCUCUGGGAAUGACCUGACGCUGAGGAGCGAAAGUGUGGGGAGCGAACAGG